rnacentral:rRNA from 1 species
AUUGAACGCCGGCGGCAUGCCUUACACAUGCAAGUCGAACGGUAGCGGGCCUUCAGGUGCCGACGAGUGGCGAACGGGUGAGUAAUGUAUCGGAACGUACCUUUCAGUGGGGGAUAACGUAGCGAAAGUUGCGCUAAUACCGCAUAUUCUGUGAGCAGGAAAGCAGGGGAUCGCAAGACCUUGCGCUGAUUGAGCGGCCGAUAUCAGAUUAGCUAGUUGGUGAGGUAAAGGCUCACCAAGGCGACGAUCUGUAGCGGGUCUGAGAGGAUGAUCCGCCACACUGGAACUGAGACACGGUCCAGACUCCUACGGGAGGCAGCAGUGGGGAAUUUUGGACAAUGGGGGCAACCCUGAUCCAGCCAUGCCGCGUGAGUGAAGAAGGCCUUCGGGUUGUAAAGCUCUUUCGGCCGGGAAGAAAUCGUAUCAGCUAAUACCUGGUGCGGAUGACGGUACCGGCAUAAGAAGCACCGGCUAACUACGUGCCAGCCGCCGCCGUAACAC